rnacentral:rRNA from 1 species
GGGUUGUGAGGUUAAGCGACUAAGCGUACACGGUGGAUGCCCUGGCAGUCAGAGGCGAUGAAGGACGUGCUAAUCUGCGAUAAGCGUCGGUAAGGUGAUAUGAACCGUUAUAACCGGCGAUUUCCGAAUGGGGAAACCCAGUGUGAUUCGUCACACUAUCAUUAACUGAAUCCAUAGGUUAAUGAGGCGAACCGGGGGAACUGAAACAUCUAAGUACCCCGAGGAAAAGAAAUCAACCGAGAUUCCCCCAGUAGCGGCGAGCGAACGGGGAGCAGCCCAGAGCCUGAAUCAGUGUGUGUGUUAGUGGAAGCGUCUGGAAAGGCGCGCGAUACAGGGUGACAGCCCCGUACACAAAAAUGCACAUGCUGUGAGCUCGAUGAGUAGGGCGGGACACGUGGUAUCCUGUCUGAAUAUGGGGGGACCAUCCUCCAAGGCUAAAUACUCCUGACUGACCGAUAGUGAACCAGUACCGUGAGGGAAAGGCGAAAAGAACCCCGGCGAGGGGAGUGAAAAAGAACCUGAAACCGUGUACGUACAAGCAGUGGGAGCACGCUUAGGCGUGUGACUGCGUACCUUUUGUAUAAUGGGUCAGCGACUUAUAUUCUGUAGCAAGGUUAACCGAAUAGGGGAGCCGAAGGGAAACCGAGUCUUAACUGGGCGUUAAGUUGCAGGGUAUAGACCCGAAACCCGGUGAUCUAGCCAUGGGCAGGUUGAAGGUUGGGUAACACUAACUGGAGGACCGAACCGACUAAUGUUGAAAAAUUAGCGGAUGACUUGUGGCUGGGGGUGAAAGGCCAAUCAAACCGGGAGAUAGCUGGUUCUCCCCGAAAGCUAUUUAGGUAGCGCCUCGUGAAUUCAUCUCCGGGGGUAGAGCACUGUUUCGGCAAGGGGGUCAUCCCGACUUACCAACCCGAUGCAAACUGCGAAUACCGGAGAAUGUUAUCACGGGAGACACACGGCGGGUGCUAACGUCCGUCGUGAAGAGGGAAACAACCCAGACCGCCAGCUAAGGUCCCAAAGUCAUGGUUAAGUGGGAAACGAUGUGGGAAGGCCCAGACAGCCAGGAUGUUGGCUUAGAAGCAGCCAUCAUUUAAAGAAAGCGUAAUAGCUCACUGGUCGAGUCGGCCUGCGCGGAAGAUGUAACGGGGCUAAACCAUGCACCGAAGCUGCGGCAGCGACGCUUAUGCGUUGUUGGGUAGGGGAGCGUUCUGUAAGCCUGUGAAGGUGUGCUGUGAGGCAUGCUGGAGGUAUCAGAAGUGCGAAUGCUGACAUAAGUAACGAUAAAGCGGGUGAAAAGCCCGCUCGCCGGAAGACCAAGGGUUCCUGUCCAACGUUAAUCGGGGCAGGGUGAGUCGACCCCUAAGGCGAGGCCGAAAGGCGUAGUCGAUGGGAAACAGGUUAAUAUUCCUGUACUUGGUGUUACUGCGAAGGGGGGACGGAGAAGGCUAUGUUGGCCGGGCGACGGUUGUCCCGGUUUAAGCGUGUAGGCUGGUUUUCCAGGCAAAUCCGGAAAAUCAAGGCUGAGGCGUGAUGACGAGGCACUACGGUGCUGAAGCAACAAAUGCCCUGCUUCCAGGAAAAGCCUCUAAGCAUCAGGUAACAUCAAAUCGUACCCCAAACCGACACAGGUGGUCAGGUAGAGAAUACCAAGGCGCUUGAGAGAACUCGGGUGAAGGAACUAGGCAAAAUGGUGCCGUAACUUCGGGAGAAGGCACGCUGAUAUGUAGGUGAAGUCCCUCGCGGAUGGAGCUGAAAUCAGUCGAAGAUACCAGCUGGCUGCAACUGUUUAUUAAAAACACAGCACUGUGCAAACACGAAAGUGGACGUAUACGGUGUGACGCCUGCCCGGUGCCGGAAGGUUAAUUGAUGGGGUCAGCGCAAGCGAAGCUCUUGAUCGAAGCCCCGGUAAACGGCGGCCGUAACUAUAACGGUCCUAAGGUAGCGAAAUUCCUUGUCGGGUAAGUUCCGACCUGCACGAAUGGCGUAAUGAUGGCCAGGCUGUCUCCACCCGAGACUCAGUGAAAUUGAACUCGCUGUGAAGAUGCAGUGUACCCGCGGCAAGACGGAAAGACCCCGUGAACCUUUACUAUAGCUUGACACUGAACAUUGAGCCUUGAUGUGUAGGAUAGGUGGGAGGCUUUGAAGUGUGGACGCCAGUCUGCAUGGAGCCGACCUUGAAAUACCACCCUUUAAUGUUUGAUGUUCUAACGUUGACCCGUAAUCCGGGUUGCGGACAGUGUCUGGUGGGUAGUUUGACUGGGGCGGUCUCCUCCUAAAGAGUAACGGAGGAGCACGAAGGUUGGCUAAUCCUGGUCGGACAUCAGGAGGUUAGUGCAAUGGCAUAAGCCAGCUUGACUGCGAGCGUGACGGCGCGAGCAGGUGCGAAAGCAGGUCAUAGUGAUCCGGUGGUUCUGAAUGGAAGGGCCAUCGCUCAACGGAUAAAAGGUACUCCGGGGAUAACAGGCUGAUACCGCCCAAGAGUUCAUAUCGACGGCGGUGUUUGGCACCUCGAUGUCGGCUCAUCACAUCCUGGGGCUGAAGUAGGUCCCAAGGGUAUGGCUGUUCGCCAUUUAAAGUGGUACGCGAGCUGGGUUUAGAACGUCGUGAGACAGUUCGGUCCCUAUCUGCCGUGGGCGCUGGAGAACUGAGGGGGGCUGCUCCUAGUACGAGAGGACCGGAGUGGACGCAUCACUGGUGUUCGGGUUGUCAUGCCAAUGGCACUGCCCGGUAGCUAAAUGCGGAAGAGAUAAGUGCUGAAAGCAUCUAAGCACGAAACUUGCCCCGAGAUGAGUUCUCCCUGACUCCUUGAGAGUCCUGAAGGAACGUUGAAGACGACGACGUUGAUAGGCCGGGUGUGUAAGCGCAGCGAUGCGUUGAGCUAACCGGUACUAAUGAACCGUGAGGCUUAACCUUACAACGCCGAAGGAGUUU